GUCUGUAUAAUUAAAACUUAAGAUUCUCUUAGAAUGUAUCUUGAUCUUGUUGCAUUUACUAUCAUAAUUAUAAAAGGCAAGAUUUAAGGGAAAAGGAAAGUAGGUUUCGAACCUGUCGCUUGAAGGGCGAGAAGAAGAGUUCAUGAACCACUACACUAUGAGACCUCUAACUGUUUCGGCGCCCCUACAUUGUUUUUAAAUUCUGGUAUCUAAAGCCCAUAUUUAAGACCACCUCCAUCAGUGUCUCUUAAGGCAUAUUCUAAAAAAAAAACAAGAAAAAAAUAAAUAAAUAAGGAUAAAGGAGCAAGAACCGGUGUCUAUUUUAGGAUUUUUAGAGAUGUUAAGAACCUUACGUGUCACGUUCUUAUUCGACCUCCCAUUUAUGUCUCUCUCUUUCCUCCUCCAAUCUAGAUCACCCCAUUUUCUCCUACGAUGAUGUCAUUUUUAUUUAAACUUCUUAUGUAUGCUUUUUUAUGUUAUUAAAUUUAAUCAUUCAAAAACAAAAUCCAAUCAUUCAACUUCUAUUAAAAAAAAUUAAAAACCCCAAAGAGAUUCUCCCAUUGGACCCAAAAAAAAUUAAUUACUCUAAGAAAGGUUCUAAACUCCUUAAAUCACAAAAUUAACUAUUAAAUUAUUCAUUAGAAUUCAUAAUAGGUUCUAACCAUUGAGCUUGCUCUAAGAAUCUAUUAGGUUUAAUAAGACUGGAAGCACACAAAAAAAUGUGGCCGCUUUCUUAAAAAAAUAGAGAAAAAAUAUGUUGUAUAGGAGAGUUGAACCAGAUUGGUAAAACAAAGUCUAAUUUCUAGAGUUAAUACCACUAGACUAAGACAGUCUUUUCAAAAAUUUGUGGCCGGAAUAGUUUCUUAAAUAUAUUGGCCGGAAGCAUGUGUUUCAUUGGCUUGGUCCAAGGGCUGGUGGCUCUGCUUAGAUUUGUUGUCUUUUUGCAUUGUUUACAUUUUAUCCAUAUAUUUUUGUAAAGGUUUUUUAGUCUAAGCUGAAUUCAAUGAUACAAACAAUAACAUGCAAUAAUCAAAUCUCUGUGUAAUUACUAAUUACAAUUGUUAAAUAGAUAUACAUGUGUUGAGAAAAAAAAAGAUGUACAUUUACAAAAUAAGAAAGUAAAGCACUUUCUUUGAAAAAUUCAUAGAAAUUGAACUUUUGC
rnacentral:lncRNA from 1 species